GCUUGCACACUCACAACUGCAAAUAUUAUUUCUCUUUUAAUAAUUAAAUACUGGUUUGAAUAUUAUAUAUUAGCUUGGUUUUCCUUCUUUUCUUUUUAAUAUAUGUCCUUAAAAGUCUUAAUUAAUUGCCACGACUUUGACUUAUAAAAACAGAUUCUUCGUCAAAGUCUACGGUACGUAAUGUAAUUCAAUCCUAAUUUGUCCAUUAAUAUGAAUCUCAUCAUCUCCUUCUUCCUACUCUCUUCUUUCUCGAUCGUACAUAUAUUAUAUAUAUAUUAUAGAUAUAUGUGUGUCUUUCCCUCCCAUCUUGUGAUCUCAACCUUAAAUAUAUAUAUUCGGUGCUGCUCCUGCGUACUGUAAGACGAGAGAGAGAGAGAGAGAGAGAGAGAGAGAGAGAGAGAGAGAGAGAGAGAGAGAUCAUGAAGGUCAUGUUGUGGUUUCUUGUACGCUUGUGCUGUGUUUUUCUGCUGAUCUUCCUGCAUGCAUCCUUUGGUACUACUGAGAUCAGGGGCGGUAAUCCACCAUCAGCUGGCAGCGAGAGGGAUCAGCCAAGAUAUGUUCGCGGAUCACCUAAUGCCCCCCCCGGUAGCCAUCUAUGAAUAGUAUAGAUAUAUAUAUAGAUGGGUAUAGAUAUAUAUAUAUAUAUAUAGAGAGAGAGAGAGAGAGAGAGAGAGAGAGAGAGAGAGAGAGAGAGAGAGAGAGAGAGAGAGAGAGAGAGAGAGAGAGAGAGAGAGAGAGAGAGAGAGAGAGAGAGUUAUCAAUCAGUCUCAAGCUCAUGGUGAUGCCCAAGCCAUAGAUGGAAGAGUUUAUAAUAGGCUAAAGAUUAUUCUUCAGUUGAUCUUGGGAUCGAUCUCUCAUAAUUUUUUUUUUUUUAAUUGUAUGCCGAAUUAAGCCAUGUCCCAAUGUUUUAGUACCUAAAUAUUAGAAGUUGAUUUCAUAAUAUUUGUGUUAUCAAUUAAAUGUUUGUUUAAAUAUAUGUACUUUGUUAUAAAUACUUUAAAUUAAAUAUUAUGUUUCAUUUUA